rnacentral:rRNA from 1 species
GUGGGGAAUAUUGGACAAUGGGCGAAAGCCUGAUCCAGCCAUGCCGCGUGUGUGAAGAAGGUCUUCGGAUUGUAAAGCACUUUAAGUUGGGAGGAAGGGCAGUAAGUUAAUACCUUGCUGUUUUGACGUUACCGACAGAAUAAGCACCGGCUAACUUCGUGCCAGCAGCCGCGGUAAUACGAAGGGUGCAAGCGUUAAUCGGAAUUACUGGGCGUAAAGUGCGCGUAGGUGGUUUUGUAAGUUGGAGUUGAAAUCCCCGGGCUCAACCUGGGAACUGCCUCCAAAACUGCAUGACUAGAGUACGGUAGAGGGUAGUGGAAUUUCCUGUGUAGCGGUGAAAUGCGUAGAUAUAGGAAGGAACACCAGUGGCGAAGGCGACUACCUGGACUGAUACUGACACUGAGGUGCGAAAGCGUGGGGAGCAAACAGGAUUAGAAACCCGAGUAGUCC